UUGUGAGGUAGAGGCGCGAUAUUUAUUAGUGCUUAGUGGAGUCCGAGAAGACGAAGAAGCUAUGCAGAAGGAAAUGUCGCCGAAGUAUGUAAUGAGUUCUCGUCAUUAUGUGCUGGGUCUGUAAUGAAUAAUUACAGGACUGUCUUAAUAAGUUUCCCGAUUUAUUAAGAUGUGCUAUCUCUCAG
rnacentral:ncRNA from 2 species